rnacentral:misc_RNA from 1 species
GAUGAAGAACGUAGCGAAAUGCGAUAAGUAAUGUGAAUUGCAGAAUUCAGUGAAUCAUCGAAUCUUUGAACGCACAUUGCGCCCGCCAGUAUUCUGGCGAGCAUGCCUGUUCGAGCGUCAUUUCAACCAUCAAGCCCCCGGCUUGUGUUGGGGACCUGCGGCUGCCGCAGGCCCUGAAAUGCAGUGGCGGGCUCGCUGUCACUCCGAGCGUAGUAGUUACAUCUCGCUCUGGGCGUGCUGCGGGUUCCGGCCGUUAAAAGCCUUAUUUACCCAAGGUUGACCUCGGAUCAGGUAGGAAGACCCGCUGAACUUAAGCAUAUCAAUAAGCGGAGGA